GACGAACGCUGGCGGCGUGCCUAAUACAUGCAAGUAGGACGCAGUUGCGAACGGGUGAGUAACGCGUAGGUAACUGCCUCUUAGAGGGGGAUAACUAUUGGAAACGAUAGCUAAUACCGCAUACUCGUAGAUGGACCUGCGUUGUAUUAGCUAGUAGGUAGGGUAAUGGCCUACCUAGGCGACGAUACAUAGACGACCUGGAGGGGUGGUCGGCCACACUGGGGCUGAUGAACGGCCCAGACUCCUUCGGGAGGCAGCAGGAGGGAAUCGUCGGCAAUGGGGGGAACCCUGAACGGGCAACGCCGCGUGGGGGAAGAAGGUUUUCGGAUCGUAAAGCUCUGUUGUUAAGGAAGCGGUACUUAACCAGAAAGGGACGGCUAACUACGUGCCAGCAGCCGCGGUAAUUC
rnacentral:rRNA from 1 species